rnacentral:rRNA from 1 species
GGGUCAGUAGGUUGGUCGUGCCACCGGUACGUACUGGUCUCACUGAUUCCUCCUUCCUGAAGAACCGUAAUGCCAUUAAUUUGGUGUUGCGGGGAAACAGGACUGUCACUUUGAAAAAAUUAGAGUGUUUAAAGCAAGCUAACGCUUGGAUACAUUAGCAUGGAAUAAUGAAAUAGGACGAUCGAUCCUAUUUUGUUGGUUUCUAGGAUUGACGUA